UACGUAGGGUGCUAGCGUUGUCCGGAAUCAUUGGGCGUAAAGCGCGCGUAGGCGGCCAGAUAAGUCCGGUGUGAAAGUCACAGGCUCAACCUGUGAAUGCCGCUGGAAACUGUCUGGCUAGAGUCCGGAAGGGGCGAGUGGAAUUCCUGGUGUAGCGGUGAAAUGCGCAGAUAUCAGGAGGAACACCAAUGGCGAAGGCAGCUCGCUGGGACGGUACUGACGCUGAGGAGCGAAAGCGUGGGGAGCAAACAGG
rnacentral:rRNA from 1 species